rnacentral:misc_RNA from 1 species
GUGAAGAACGUAGCGAAAUGCGAUAAGUAGUGUGAAUUGCAGAAUUCAGUGAAUCAUCGAAUCUUUGAACGCACAUUGCGCCCCUUGGUAUCCCGAGGGGCAUGCCUGUUCGAGCGUCAUUUCACCACUCAAGCCUGGCUUGGUGUUGGGCGACGUCCCCUUUGGGGACGCGCCUCGAAACGCUCGGCGGCGUGGCACCGGCUUUAAGCGUAGCAGAAUCUUUCGCUUUGGAAGUCGGGGCCCCGUCUGCCGGAAGACCUACUCGCAAGGUUGACCUCGGAUCAGGCAGGGAUACCCGCUGAACUUAAGCAUAUCAAUAAGCGGAGGA